rnacentral:rRNA from 1 species
GAUGAACGCUGGCGGCGUGCCUAAUACAUGCAAGUCGAGCGAACAGAUGAGGAGCUUGCUCCUCUGACGUUAGCGGCGGACGGGUGAGUAACACGUGGAUAACCUACCUAUAAGACUGGGAUAACUUCGGGAAACCGGAGCUAAUACCGGAUAAUAUAUUGAACCGCAUGGUUCAAUAGUGAAAGACGGUUUUGCUGUCACUUAUAGAUGGAUCCGCGCCGCAUUAGCUAGUUGGUAAGGUAACGGCUUACCAAGGCAACGAUGCGUAGCCGACCUGAGAGGGUGAUCUGCCACACUGGAACUGAGACACGGUCCAGACUCCUACGGGAGGCAGCAGUAGGGAAUCUUCCGCAAUGGGCGAAAGCCUGACGGAGCAACGCCGCGUGAGUGAUGAAGGUCUUCUGAUCGUAAAACUCUGUUAUUAGGGAAGAACAAAUGUGUAAGUAACUAUGCACGUCUUGACGGUACCUAAUCAGAAAGCCACGGCUAACUACGUG